AUUGAACGCUGGCGGCAUGCCUUACACAUGCAAGUCGAACGGCAGCACGGGUGCUUGCACCUGGUGGCGAGUGGCGAACGGGUGAGUAAUACAUCGGAACAUGUCCUGUAGUGGGGGAUAGCCCGGCGAAAGCCGGAUUAAUACCGCAUACGAUCUACGGAUGACAGCGGGGGACCUUCGGGCCUCGCGCUAUAGGGUUGGCCGAUGGCUGAUUAGCUAGUUGGUGGGGUAAAGGCCUACCAAGGCGACGAUCAGUAGCUGGUCUGAGAGGACGACCAGCCACACUGGGACUGAGACACGGCCCAGACUCCUACGGGAGGCAGCAGUGGGGAAUUUUGGACAAAGGGCGAAAGCCUGAUCCAGCAAUGCCGCGUGUGUGAAGAAGGCCUUCGGGUUGUAAAGCACUUUUGUCCGGAAAGAAAUCCUUGGCUCUAAUACAGUCGGGGGAUGACGGUACCGGAAGAAUAAGCACCGGCUAACUACGUG
rnacentral:rRNA from 1 species